rnacentral:rRNA from 1 species
UUGAACGCUGGCGGCAGGCCUAACACAUGCAAGUCGAGCGGUAGCACAGAGAGCUUGCUCUCGGGUGACGAGCGGCGGACGGGUGAGUAAUGUCUGGGAAACUGCCUGAUGGAGGGGGAUAACUACUGGAAACGGUAGCUAAUACCGCAUAAUGUCGCAAGACCAAAGUGGGGGACCUUCGGGCCUCAUGCCAUCAGAUGUGCCCAGAUGGGAUUAGCUAGUAGGUGGGGUAACGGCUCACCUAGGCGACGAUCCCUAGCUGGUCUGAGAGGAUGACCAGCCACACUGGAACUGAGACACGGUCCAGACUCCUACGGGAGGCAGCAGUGGGGAAUAUUGCACAAUGGGCGCAAGCCUGAUGCAGCCAUGCCGCGUGUGUGAAGAAGGCCUUCGGGUUGUAAAGCACUUUCAGCGGGGAGGAAGGCGGUGAGGUUAAUAACCUCAUCGAUUGACGUUACCCGCAGAAGAAGCACCGGCUAACUCCGUGCCAGCAGCCGCGGUAAUACGGAGGGUGCAAGCGUUAAUCGGAAUUACUGGGCGUAAAGCGCACGCAGGCGGUCUGUCAAGUCGGAUGUGAAAUCCCCGGGCUCAACCUGGGAACUGCAUUCGAAACUGGCAGGCUAGAGUCUUGUAGAGGGGGGUAGAAUUCCAGGUGUAGCGGUGAAAUGCGUAGAGAUCUGGAGGAAUACCGGUGGCGAAGGCGGCCCCCUGGACAAAGACUGACGCUCAGGUGCGAAAGCGUGGGGAGCAAACAGGAUUAGAUACCCUGGUAGUCCACGCCGUAAACGAUGUCGAUUUGGAGGUUGUGCCCUUGAGGCGUGGCUUCCGGAGCUAACGCGUUAAAUCGACCGCCUGGGGAGUACGGCCGCAAGGUUAAAACUCAAAUGAAUUGACGGGGGCCCGCACAAGCGGUGGAGCAUGUGGUUUAAUUCGAUGCAACGCAAAGAACCUUACCUGGUCUUGACAUCCACAGAACUUUCCAGAGAUGGAUUGGUGCCUUCGGGAACUGUGAGACAGGUGCUGCAUGGCUGUCGUCAGCUCGUGUUGUGAAAUGUUGGGUUAAGUCCCGCAACGAGCGCAACCCUUAUCCUUUGUUGCCAGCGGUUAGGCCGGGAACUCAAAGGAGACUGCCAGUGAUAAACUGGAGGAAGGUGGGGAUGACGUCAAGUCAUCAUGGCCCUUACGACCAGGGCUACACACGUGCUACAAUGGCAUAUACAAAGAGAAGCGACCUCGCGAGAGCAAGCGGACCUCAUAAAGUAUGUCGUAGUCCGGAUUGGAGUCUGCAACUCGACUCCAUGAAGUCGGAAUCGCUAGUAAUCGUAGAUCAGAAUGCUACGGUGAAUACGUUCCCGGGCCUUGUACACACCGCCCGUCACACCAUGGGAGUGGGUUGCAAAAGAAGUAGGUAGCUUAACCUUCGGGAGGGCGCUUACCACUUUGUGAUUCAUGACUGGGGUG